UUCUGACCUCGAAUCAGGUGGGACUACCCGCUGAACUUAAGCAUAUCAAUAAGCGGAGGAAAAGAAACUAACAAGGAUUCCCUUAGUAACUGCGAGUGAAGUGGGAUGA
rnacentral:rRNA from 1 species